GUGCUCGUUUCGGCAGCACGUAUCCUAAAAGUGGAACGAAACAAAGAUCAGCGUGGCCAUGGCGCAAGGAUGACACGCAAAUUAGUGAAGUGUUCCGUAUUUUA